UGGGGAAUCUUGGACAAUGGGCGCAAGCCUGAUCCAGCCAUGCCGCGUGGGUGAAGAAGGCCUUAGGGUUGUAAAGCCCUUUCAGUCGUGACGAUGAUGACGGUAGCGACAGAAGAAGCCCCGGCUAACUCCGUGCCAGCAGCCGCGGUAAUACGGAGGGGGCAAGCGUUGUUCGGAUUUACUGGGCGUAAAGGGCGCGUAGGCGGGCGAUCAAGUCAGGGGUGAAAGGCCUGGGCUCAACCUGGGACGUGCCUUUGAAACUGAUUGUCUUGAGUGCGGGAGAGGGUGACGGAAUUCCCAGUGUAGAGGUGAAAUUCGUAGAUAUUGGGAGGAACACCGGUGGCGAAGGCGACCACCUGGACGGGUACUGACGCUGAGACGCGAAAGCGUGGGGAGCAAACAGGAUUAGAUACCCGUGUAGUCC
rnacentral:rRNA from 1 species